rnacentral:rRNA from 1 species
CCUACGGGCGGCAGCAGUGAGGAAUAUUGGUCAAUGGACGAGAGUCUGAACCAGCCAAGUAGCGUGAGGGAUGACUGCCCUAUGGGUUGUAAACUUCUUUUAUAUGGGAAUAAAAUGUUCCACGUGUGGGAUUUUGUAUGUACCUUAUGAAUAAGCAUCGGCUAACUCCGUGCCAGCAGCCGCGGUAAUACGGAGGAUCCGAGCGUUAUCCGGAUUUAUUGGGUUUAAAGGGAGCGUAGAUGGGUUGUUAAGUCAGUUGUGAAAGUUUGCGGCUCAACCGUAAAAUUGCAAUUGAUACUGGCAGUCUUGAGUACAGUUGAGGUAGGCGGAAUUCGUGGAGUAGCGGUGAAAUGCUUAGAUAUAACGAAGAACUCCGAUAGCGAAGGCAGCUUACUAAACUGCCACUGACAUUGAUGCUCGAAAGUGUGGGUAGCAAACAGGAUUAGAUACCCCUGUAGUC